UGGGGAAUCUUGGACAAUGGGGGCAAACCCUGAUCCAGCCAUGCCGCGUGAGUGAUGAAGGCCUUAGGGUCGUAAAGCUCUUUCGCCUGUGAAGAUAAUGACGGUAGCAGGUAAAGAAACCCCGGCUAACUCCGUGCCAGCAGCCGCGGUAAUACGGAGGGGGUUAGCGUUGUUCGGAAUUACUGGGCGUAAAGCGCACGUAGGCGGACCAGAAAGUUGGGGGUGAAAUCCCGGGGGCUCAACCCCGGAACUGCCUCCAAAACUAUUGGUCUAGAGUUCGAGAGAGGUGAGUGGAAUUCCAAGUGUAGAGGUGAAAUUCGUAGAUAUUUGGAGGAACACCAGUGGCGAAGGCGGCUCACUGGCUCGAUACUGACGCUGAGGUGCGAAAAGUGUGGGGAGCAAAACAGGAUUAGAUACCCCUGGUAGUCCACACCGUAAAACGAUG
rnacentral:rRNA from 1 species